CAAUAGCGUAUAUUAAAGUUGUUGCAGUUAAAAAGCUCGUAGUUGGAUUUCUGGUAGGAGUGACCGUUCCGAACUUGAUUGUUCGUGUAUUGUGUUUUCUCCAGCCAUCCUUGUGGAGAACUUUUCUUGCAUUAAUUUGUAGGGAUUGGGACCCGCAUCGUUUACUGUGAAAAAAUUAGAGUGUUUAAAGCAGGCAAUCGCUUGAAUACAUUAGUAUGGAAUAAUAAGAUAGGACUUUGGUACUAUUUUGUUGGUUUGCAUACCAAAUUAAUGAUCAACAGGAACAGUUUGAGGAUAUUCGUAUGAACAUGUCAGAGGUGAAAUUCUUGGAUUUUGAUCAGACGAACUACUGCGAAAGCAUUUAUCAAGGAUGUUUUCAUUAA
rnacentral:rRNA from 1 species